GCGGAAACGUUUGCAAUGCGGCAAAAUGAGACGCGGUAAGGGUAAAUUAUGUAUUGUGGAAUACACAAUUUCGGAUAGAUUGAAAUUCUUAUUCUUUGUUCUCUGUUCCCUGUUCCUUUUAUUGUGCGGAGCCUCUAACCAAUAAACACAUUAGGAGCUGUAAGCUUAUUGACUACCGCAUCACAUUUUGAGCGUAGCAAGCAUUUCCGCGUCCAGUGUGCAGAAGCCAUUAGUUGAUGUUUAAAAUCAGAUAAGGGUCCAAUUAUAAUAAUGUUUUUGAUGUGACAUUUUGGACUUUAUAGCACUUUACACGACACAAUUAAUAUAAUUAUCGUCAAAAAUUUAUUGCGCGUGCUGCUAACUAAUUUAUAUGAGCGAUAUUCGAGAUAAAGGGAAAGUUCUUGAUUGUAUCAAACUUCGAAUGUCAAAAAGACCAAUUAAUUAGAAAAGAAGGACAACUCAUAGUUGGAAGACUGUCGUCAGAUGUUGGAUAAAAUAUAAAACACCAUUGAUUUAUCCAUUAUCUCCAUGUAUUAGAAAAGGAGGGACUUCUCUUACCUUAAAAUUGUUGCUGAAUUGACGUUUCAAUGACAUUCCGUACACGGAGAAAAAUAUUUGAUUGAAUUAAGAAUGUACGAUCGAUCACUUGCGGGGUAAACAUUAGAAACAACUGACUUGAAGUGACUAAUAGAGACGUUUUUUAUUUCGGUCUAAUUACACCUGCAUUUUAUACAGAUCCUUAAAUCACUUCGACAAAGGUGGUCUACUCAUCGCUAUACUGCAUAUGUUUCGAGUACCAAUCUAAACGGUGAAACCAACUGAAAGCUGAAAGAUGAUCGCUCCGUGUUCUCCACCGCGAAAAAUGGCGAUUAAGCACUUUUGAGCUGACGCACUGUCUAAACAUUUUGAUUGUUGCCACGCAGUGCGGCACGUGUUAGCUGUGUUAUUCGUUUCGCCCAACAUGAGCUUUGCAAGCAAGCAUAGGAGCAAAAACGAUCUCAUUAUUGAUGUCUCACCGAAUAAUAUUACAGCGCGACGACAGCGGCGAGUGUUAGAAUUUCGGACCUGGCAGAAAGAUAGACGGAAAAGAGGAACGACGAAAGAUGAAGAGAAAGAGAAAGACGGACAUCUUGAUAAAUGGAAAAAC